rnacentral:rRNA from 1 species
AUACGUAGGGGGCGAGCGUUGUCCGGAAUGAUUGGGCGUAAAGGGCGCGUAGGCGGCGCGGUAAGUCUGGAGUGAAAGUCCUGCUUUCAAGGUGGGAAUUGCUUUGGAUACUGCCGCGCUUGAGUGCAGGAGAGGUUAUCGGAAUUCCCGGUGUAGCGGUGAAAUGCGUAGAGAUCGGGAGGAACACCAGUGGCGAAGGCGGGUAACUGGACUGCAACUGACGCUGAGGCGCGAAAGUGUGGGGAGCAAACAGGAUUAGAUACCCUGGUAGUCCACGCUGUAAACGAUGAAUGCUAGGUGUAAGAGGUAUCGACCCCUUUUGUGCCGGAGUCAACACAAUAAGCAUUCCGCCUGGGGAGUACGGCAGCAAGGUUGAAACUCAAAUGAAUUGACGGGG